CUGUCGACCCGUUUUUGCCCCUGUUUUUUGAGCCAGCCUGAACCCCGUUGGAUUUGUCUGCCCGCCUGAGUUCUGUUCUUCAGCCUCAGUGUUUUGGACUGCCUCCCUGUGUUUGGGACCCUGCCAGCCUGUAAGUUUCUGAGAUUGCCUACUCUUUGAUAAUUGUGAUUCUGGAUUUGGAUUUGAACCUGGACCUGGACCCGUCUCUGGAUUCUCCCUCGGAAACCUCUGCUGGAUUAAACGGACAUCCCUCCCGUAAAAGAACCGGACCGGACCUGGACAAAGAACUGGAUAGCCCCUUCACGGACCCUACUGCUUCCUGGAAACCAGACGCUGCUAAAACAAGCCGUCCUCGUGCCCCAGGAACCGCCAGAGGCUGUGUGCUGCCGCACAAACCAGGGGGGUCCGCGCCGCCACCAUCUUUAAUAAACUGUUAAAGUUUUA